AUACGUAUGGUGCAAGCGUUAUCCGGAUUUACUGGGUGUAAAGGGAGCGCAGGCGGUACGGCAAGUCUGAUGUGAAAGCCCGGGGCUCAACCUCGGUACUGCAUUGGAAACUGUCGAACUAGAGUGUCGGAGGGGUAAGUGGAAUUCCUAGUGUAGCGGUGAAAUGCGUAGAUAUUAGGAGGAACACCAGUGGCGAAGGCGGCUUACUGGACGAUAACUGACGCUGAGGCUCGAAAGCGUGGGGAGC
rnacentral:rRNA from 1 species